GCGCCCUUAGCUCAACUGGAUAGAGCAUCUGACUACGGAUCAGAAGGUUGGGGGUUCGAAUCCCUCAGGGCGCA
rnacentral:tRNA from 1 species